rnacentral:tRNA from 1 species
GGGUCGUUAGCUCAGUUGGUAGAGCAGCGGACUUUUAAUCCGUUGGUCGCAGGUUCAAAUCCUGCACGACCUACCA